rnacentral:rRNA from 1 species
UUGGGAAUCGUACACAAUGGACGCAAGUCUGAUGUCGCGACACCGCGUGAAGGAUGAAGGCUUUCGGGUUGUAAACUUCUUUUAUAGGGGACGAUGAUGACGGUACCCUAUGAAUAAGCGACGGCUAACUACGUGCCAGCAGCCGCGGUAAUACGUAGGUCGCAAGCGUUAUCCGGAAUUAUUGGGCGUAAAGAAUGCGUAGGUGGUUUAAAAAGUUGCCCGUUAAAUCUUCAGGCUCAACCUGAUUCUCGCGGGCAAGACUUUUAAGCUAGAGUAUAACAGGGGCAAGUGGAAUUCCCGGUGUAGGAGUGAAAUCCGUUGAUAUCGGGAGGAACACCAAUGGCGAAGGCAGCUUGCUAGGUUAAUCUGACACUGAGGCAUGAAAGCGUGGGGAGCGAACGGG